rnacentral:lncRNA from 1 species
NNNNNNNNNNNNNNNNNNNNNNNNNNNNNNNNNUGGGACGUGGCCGGGUGCCGGGGGGCUGCCGGCUCUCCCAUGCCGGGGGCCGGCAGCAAGGCCCCGUGGGCCGGCGGGCUGGAGGAGGGCGGCGGGCGGCCGGUGGCUCCCCAGGGCCCAGCGUCGCCCCACUCCAGCGCCGGCGUCCCCAGGGUUUCAGUGGCCGUGGGGGUGCUGAGCCCUGGGGCCGGGGAGGUGGGUCCCGCGGAGCUGCUGGCCGGGGUGGGCUGGGGGGACCCCAGCAGGGCCGUGGGGCUGGCGUGGGGCGCUGGGGGCUCUCCGGGCAGGGCCGGCGGGUGGCCGGUGCUGGUCGGGGGGGCCCAGCCGCGCUCGGGGAGCCCCUCGGUGCCGGCCAGCCCCGACACCCCUGAGGCCGGGGUCAGGCCUCGCUCCGGGCUGGGGGACGUCUGCCCCCGCGCGCUGGCCGUGGCGGUGGGGACGGGCAGCGCACUCGGGGCAGUCCCCGCGGCUGGCCGGGCUGUGCCGGCUGUGGUGAGACCCCCUCGGCCCCCAGCCCCCGGGGCAGAGCCGGGGUCCUGCUGGGUGACGGCGGCAGGGGCCCCUCCGGGGGCCAGAUCCGUCCCUGCUGGGCUGGGGGUGCUGGUGGGUCUCAGCCGUCCCCCCGCUGCGAGGGCUGCCGUCGCCAGAGCGGGCGCAGGCGUCCCCAUGCCACUCUCGCCGGUCGCCGGUGAGGUGUCAUCCACGGGGGCUGGGGACACCGGCGAGGCACUGGCGGAUGCCCACUCCCACCCGCCGGGGCCGGGGGAGCGCGUGGGGGUCCCCUCCGGCCCCGCGGUGCCCACCGCCGUGGCGUUUCCCGGUGGGCCGGCCCCGGGGGGAGCCGCCGCAGUGGGACCCGCUCCCUGGGGGAGCCUGGUGGUGGCGGGGGUCCCCUCGGCUGGGGUCACCCCCACUGUCACCACCGGGCUGGGGCCGGGGCCGGCAGGGCCCGGCAACCACGAGCGCUCGGUGCUGGCUCCUUCCUGCCCUGGCAGCCGGGUCCGGUCGCUCCGCUCAGUGCCGGGGGGCUCGGCGGUGCUGGUGGGGGCAGCCGUGCCCUCCGCAGAGCGGGUCCCGCUACCCAAACCUGGGCUUAGCGCGCACCAGGUGGUCACUGGGGAGAGAGGGGAGAGCGCAGCGUGCACCGGCACGAUGGCAGCACUGACAGCACGACGGCAGCGCCCACGCCACGCUCGGCCGCGGGAACUGGCACCCGGGCAGGUGAGUGGCCCCGGAGCACGGCACCGGCACCCAGGAUGGCAGCACCAGCACCUGCGACGGCAGC